UACAGAGGGGGCAAGCGUUGUUCGGAAUUACUGGGCGUAAAGGGCGCGUAGGCGGCCCGCUAAGUCGAACGUGAAAUCCCUGGGCUCAACCCAGGAACUGCGUCCGAUACUGGCGGGCUUGAAUCCGGGAGAGGGAUGUGGAAUUCCAGGUGUAGCGGUGAAAUGCGUAGAUAUCUGGAGGAAUACCGGUGGCGAAGGCGGCAUCCUGGACCGGCAUUGACGCUGAGGAGCGAAAGCCAGGGGAGCAAACGGG
rnacentral:rRNA from 1 species